AUUGAACGCUGGCGGCAUGCCUUACACAUGCAAGUCGAACGGCAGCAUGGAGAGCUUGCUCUCUGAUGGCGAGUGGCGAACGGGUGAGUAAUGCAUCAGAACGUACCGUGUAAUGGGGGAUAACGUAGCGAAAGUUACGCUAAUACCGCAUACGACCUGAGGGUGAAAGCCGGGGAUCGCAAGACCUUGCGUUAUACGAGCGGCCGAUGUCAGAUUAGCUAGUUGGUGAGGUAAAGGCUCACCAAGGCGACGAUCUGUAGCGGGUCUGAGAGGGUGACCGGCCUCACUGGGACUGAGACACGGCCCAGACUCCUACGGGAGGCAGCAGUGGGGAAUUUUGGACAAUGGGGGCAACCCUGAUCCAGCCAUGCCGCGUGAGUGAAGAAGGCCUUCGGGUUGUAAAGCUCUUUCGGCCGGGAAGAAAUCGCACAGGCUAAUACUCUGUGUGGAUGACGGUACCGGCAUAAGAAGCACCGGCUAACUACGUGCCAGCCGCCGCAGUAAUAC
rnacentral:rRNA from 1 species